ACGAACGCUGGCGGCGUGGAUAAGACAUGCAAGUCGAACGAGAGAAUUGCUAGCUUGCUAAUAAUUCUCUAGUGGCGCACGGGUGAGUAACACGUGAGUAACCUGCCCCCGAGAGCGGGAUAGCCCUGGGAAACUGGGAUUAAUACCGCAUAGUAUCGAAAGAUUAAAGCAGCAAUGCGCUUGGGGAUGGGCUCGCGGCCUAUUAGUUAGUUGGUGAGGUAACGGCUCACCAAGGCGAUGACGGGUAGCCGGUCUGAGAGGAUGUCCGGCCACACUGGAACUGAGACACGGUCCAGACACCUACGGGUGGCAGCAGUCGAGAAUCAUUCACAAUGGGGGAAACCCUGAUGGUGCGACGCCGCGUGGGGGAAUGAAGGUCUUCGGAUUGUAAACCCCUGUCAUGUGGGAGCAAAUUAAAAAGAUAGUACCACAAGAGGAAGAGACGGCUAACUCUGUGCCAGCAGCCGCGGUAAUACAGAGGUCUCAAGCGUUGUUCGGAAUCACUGGGCGUAAAGCGUGCGUAGGCUGUUUCGUAAGUCGUGUGUGAAAGGCGCGGGCUCAACCCGCGGACGGCACAUGAUACUGCGAGACUAGAGUAAUGGAGGGGGAACCGGAAUUCUCGGUGUAGCAGUGAAAUGCGUAGAUAUCGAGAGGAACACUCGUGGCGAAGGCGGGUUCCUGGACAUUAACUGACGCUGAGGCACGAAGGCCAGGGGAGCGAAAGGGAUUAGAUACCCCUGUAGUCCUGGCAGUAAACGGUGCACGCUUGGUGUGCGGGGAAUCGACCCCCUGCGUGCCGGAGCUAACGCGUUAAGCGUGCCGCCUGGGGAGUACGGUCGCAAGAUUAAAACUCAAAGAAAUUGACGGGGACCCGCACAAGCGGUGGAGUAUGUGGCUUAAUUCGAUGCAACGCGAAGAACCUUACCUGGGCUUGACAUGUAAUGAACAGCAUGUGAAAGCAUGCGACUCUUCGGAGGCGUUACACAGGUGCUGCAUGGCCGUCGUCAGCUCGUGUCGUGAGAUGUUUGGUUAAGUCCAGCAACGAGCGCAACCCCUGUUGCCAGUUACCAGCACGUGAAGGUGGGGACUCUGGCGAGACUGCCCAGAUCAACUGGGAGGAAGGUGGGGACGACGUCAGGUCAGUAUGGCCCUUAUGCCCAGGGCUGCACACGUACUACAAUGCCCAGUACAGAGGGGGCCGAAGCCGCGAGGCGGAGGAAAUCCUAAAAACUGGGCCCAGUUCGGACUGUAGGCUGCAACCCGCCUACACGAAGCCGGAAUCGCUAGUAAUGGCGCAUCAGCUACGGCGCCGUGAAUACGUUCCCGGGUCUUGUACACACCGCCCGUCACAUCAUGGAAGCCGGUCGCACCCGAAGUAUCUGAAGCCAACCGCAAGGAGGCAGGGUCCUAAGGUGAGACUGGUAACUGGGAUG
rnacentral:rRNA from 1 species